rnacentral:rRNA from 1 species
UACGGAGGGUGCGAGCGUUAAUCGGAAUUACUGGGCGUAAAGCGCACGUAGGCGGUCGGGUCAGUCCGUUGUGAAAGCCCUGGGCUUAACCUGGGACCGGCAAGGGAAACGGCACGACUGGAGUGGAGCAGAGGACCGUGGAAUUCCCGGUGUAGCGGUGAAAUGCGUAGAGAUCGGGAAGAACACCGAUGGCGAAGGCAGCGGUCUGGGAUCACACUGACGCUGAGGUGCGACAGCGUGGGGAGCAAACAGG